rnacentral:rRNA from 1 species
GAUGAGACCGGCGCACGGGUGCGUAACGCGUAUGCAAUCUACCUUGUACAGGGGAAUAGCCCAGAGAAAUUUGGAUUAAUGCCCCAUUGUAUUAUUAAAUCGCAUGGUUUAAUAAUUAAAGUUCCAACGGUACAAGAUGAGCAUGCGUCCCAUUAGCUAGAUGGUAAGGUAACGGCUUACCAUGGCUACGAUGGGUAGGGGUCCUGAGAGGGAGAUCCCCCACACUGGUACUGAGACACGGACCAGACUCC